CCUCGAUUUCCAUUAGAAGCUUCUACCGCUUCACGCCUUCACAUACCAACCUCGAUUCCUCAACAAUUCAUUAAUUUCCAUUUUCCAAAACCUGAUUAAUGUAUUCAUACAUAAUUUCAAAUGCUUCUCACUGCCGAAAUGCAUUUAUUCUUAUCAAUGAUUUAUGUUUUCCAGCUAAUGAUUUACGUUUUAGGAUUUUUCUUAUAUUCAAGAGAAAGUGCUUCCAAUCCAAUUCAAAUUUAAUACUUCCAACAAUGGAGAAAAAAAAUACUCAUUCAAGAAUCUUCAUAGCAGAGAAUAUUUCAGUCACAAGAAGAAGGUGCACUUAGUGGCUUGGAAUUACAUUGGCACAUAACUUGCUUCUGGUUCUGUUGAUCAAACUGCUUGAAUCUAGCAUAUUGAACCACAUCAUGUUUUUCAAUUGCAGGACAAGUUCAUAAUUCACAUCUUCAAAAACUCUUUUUUUAUCGUUCUUUUUUAAAAGUUUGUUUAUUUAUUUGUUUUUCUGUUUUGGGUUUCUAUUAUAUUGUUGCAUUGUUGCUUGAGAAUGGAGCUGAUGUUAAUUCAAAAAAUUAUUCUCGCAAGGUAUCUCUCUAUGGCCCUUUUUUGAUUUGAAACAAAAAUUGUAGUAUCAUAUGAUUAUUCUAAUGAAUGAAAUAUUUACAAUUAGUGUAGAAAUUUAAAUAUUUGAUAUUGGAAUUCAGAUGCUAAAGAUGGGAACUCUCCUCAGCAACCUCAACCUAAUAGUUACAUAUCUAACGUUGCUCCAGAGAGUAAAUUUAAUUUCAAGCUUUAGCUUUAUGAAUAACUGUAAUAUCGCAAAAUAAUUGAGGCCUACUUUGAUAUUUCUUAAAAAUUUGUAUUUCUGUUAAUAAUAUUGGCUUAACAGCUCCAAUUUGAAACUUCUGCCAUUGUUUCAGUUUCUUUUUUGUGCUAAAGCGUAAGAAGUAGCAGAGCUGCGCGAGAAGAGAGGUGCUUUGAAAUUUCCUCUACAAUUUGCCAGUGUAUCGAGGUCUGAUUUACAAAGUUCAAUGGAUGGAUGUCUUGCUUCCGUUCAUGAAUACAAAAUCCCGCCUAAAGCUCUUCUUGGAUUGCAUUCCUAUUGUCAUGUUUACUUUGAUGCUUUCCAUUCGGUCAUUGUUGAUACUCGUGUUCACAUCAGUCUAUAAAAUAUUUAUGAAUGAGCACUUAUGUCUCUGGAAUAUAUUUAUGAAAACCAAUAUGACAAUAAUGCUGAUUAGAAGCAAGUGCGAUCUUGCUCACAAACGGGAUGUAAACACUGAAGAAGGUGUUAGAUUCAAAUUAACAUCAUAGUACAGUUAUUAUCACAGACGGGCCUACUGCUCUCUAAUUAUUGCACGGCGGGAAGGCAAGUAGUAAAAGUUCUCAACAGUGAUGGGAAGGUUAUUGCAGAUGUUAAUUGAUUUGCAAAGAUUCUUGAGAAGGAAGAGGAUGAUUUUGAUUAACUAUUUCUUUCAGGUUGAUUAUUCACAAUAUGCUUUUGAAUGAUUUUGUUAUAAUACAGUAAAUUGUUUGAAUUUGGUCGUAUUUUGUUGUAUAUAAGUUGAUGGGUCAGGGUCGUCAAGCUGAUGGGUCGAGAUAGUGAGAUAGUGUUAAGUUUCCAGCUGUCGAGAUUGUGGUAAGCUUUAAAUCGCAUGCUCCUGUUUAUUGAAAUUGAUGAUGAGGAGGGGAUUAGUUAAUUUUUGUUGAUUCAAUAUCAAAUAUUUUUUUUUUUUGCAAUACUUAGAUUAAGGUGUGAUGUGGAAUAAUUUUUGCAAUAUCUAUUUGUUGAUUCAAUAUCAAAUAUCAUAUAUCAAAAUAAUUUUUAAGUAGAUCUACACGACGAAAAGAGAGGCAUAUACUGGAUUUGAGUUUAAUAACCAAAUCUAAGAUAAAUUUGUGAUAUCCAUAACCUUGGUGAGUUUUAACACAGGCCGUUGUUUCUGAUGACAGCUGAUGCAUUCAUGUUAUAUUACCACCACUAUAAUGGUUAUUAUUUAUUCUUCUUUUACUUCCCUUUGCUCUCCUUCAAUUCAUUUUAUUCUUUCUAUUUUGUAUGGUUAGUCAAAUGUUGCAGAUAUUUCUGCUUGGGCAAUUUGGCAUGGUGUGUUGUACCAUUAAGCAAUUUCAUACCUAAGUAGUUUUGUUUACGAAUUUUACUAAUUUCCUUUUAAGCCAAAUUUCUUUGUUUUUUCUUCUUCCAGGAAAUGCUUUAACCCAUUCCCCUAGCUUUGGCAUAUUGCACUCGGUAGUUUGAAGGGAUGUCUGCCACAAGAGAAUCAUUUGCAGUACUUCAAAAACUAAGAGAGGGCUAUUUUGAUUCUUCUUUACCCAGGACACCCAAAGUGAUUUUUCCCAAUGAAUAUAUGGUGUUUCUGAUUUUCUAACUCCAUUUACAUCACAGUAAUUUUACAAGAUAAGGAUCAUGUGAUGUCCUCACCCAGCUAAACAAGAGUGUUAUGCAGUUAUCCAACAUCUCUGCAUCUUUCUUGUCAUAUAUCAUGCUUCAUUAAUCUUUGAUGAAUAUAAGAAAAGAGAGAUUGGUCCAUUAAUGUUUCGAGAUUGGAUUUAUGGGAUUCUUGCGAAUUUUUCAAAAUGUUGGGAUUGGUAGUUGUAGAGGUAAUUUGGGUGAGAGUGAGUAAGUGACGCAUUGAAAUCCUUCAUUAAUAUUUCGAAGUCGGGUUUAUGAGGUUCUUGUGAUUCUUAUAGAUACUUAGAAUGGUAAUCAUAUGGGAAAUUUGGGUGCGGUUCCUCGAGAUAUUGGGAGUGGAAAUCAUAGAGAAAAUUUGGGUGUACAUAGUUAUAGAGAUAAGAGUGCCUUAGUCUAUUCGGUGCAACAACGGAUUGGCCGUUGGUCCCUGGCAACGACGCCAAAAACUUGAUGCAUCCGCAAGCGCACUGACAUAUCGAAGUAAUAUAAAAGAUUGUCGAACCCACAGAGACCAAUGUCAACCUACUGUAAUCUAUUGUCGCUUUGUAAAUCUAAGGCUAAUGAAUGAUUGAUUAAGGGAAAACUAAUAACUAAAACUAAAAUAAAAUAAAGAUUAACAUGAAUAUAAGAAAAGAGAGACCGGAAUGUGAUUCCGUGUACUUCGGGAACUCUGUAACUCGUUGGCUUAUAGUAAUGUUAAAAAAAAAUUUAGUAG